UCAAGUGACACCCCCGGGAAAAGCUCUGAAUUCCAGAAAAAGUUUGGCUCGCUGAAAAAAUUGGGAUCUCGCAAUAAAGCGGCACAGGCAGACGAAGGGCCAAGCAGCGAAAGUCUCGACCGCAAAUACUUGAAAUUCCUCGGUCCAAACAACGUACCAACGCCAACAGCGCAAUUUCGCUCCUAUCGGCGAGUCCCACCCUCACCACCCGCCUCGACCAGUCAACGGCGGAAAGACAAAAGCCACCACUGUAGUGCAGAGAGUGUGCUUGCACACCCAGACAAGAGCCUAAGCGAAAGGUGUAGUUCUCCAGUAAACAUGAAUUUGCCACCAGAUAUGGGUGACUAUCGGCUGGCGUCCUUGGCUCGAGCAACAAGGGACACUCAACAGAGGCGUAUUGAUCAUGAAAACAACACAGGAUUUGUUACGCUUGAAGCAUUUAUGCUAGCGCGACAAGAGGAAGAACGACGCCAGCAACAAGAAUUUUCAAGGCCAGCAACCUCAUCGACACUGCUACCUUUGCCGCCACAAAUUGCCCCCAGAACUGCAGAUUUAGACAACUUUUCAGACGACAGGUAUCGCUGCAACAGGAAUGCACCUUCAUCGUCUGCAAGGCCAAGAUACACUCCACAACCUACGAGAGAAUACAGGGGUGGCUCCCCAGAAAAGUUCUGGAUUGAUUCCCUGAGACGCUCGGAUUCUCGGCCUCAAGCUAGUGCCCACUCAACCAACACUGUUCCUGAUCUCCGCACUAAACGUUUGAAAAAAGCAGCUAAUUAUCAACCUCCUCCAGUUUCACCACUCGAUAAUGCUUCUCCAGGACCGAGUGACAUGAGGUUUGCUUUUGAAAUGGCCCUGGACCAGUCUCAGUCUUGUCGCAAAAACUCAAAACAGUCUCAAUCAUCAUCAAAAACGCUGAAAAGUUUCUUCUCUCCAUCGAAAAGCGAUCACUCUUCAUCACCUCAAAAAACGUUACUUGGAUCGCCAAGGUUGCAUCGUGUUCUGUUCCGUGAAAAGAAGGAAAGAGAGCCACCUGUUCCUCCUCCACGACCUUUACACACUCUUGCUGAUUGGGCCAGCCGCACCAGUCCGAGAGAUCAUCUAGGAGAGAACGAUCUGAGUCUGGACAGUCCUCAAGGUAGCGGUGACUCAGCAAGUUUGCGGCUGCCCCUUCCUCCGGACUACCCAGGCUUAGAGUAUCCCCCAGUCUUUGAGCCAGAGACCUAUAGUCUGUCCAACGCCACGACAGUGAAACGUGAUAAAAACACCAAAGACGACUCCCCCCAAUCAAAUUAA
rnacentral:lncRNA from 1 species